rnacentral:rRNA from 1 species
GACGAACGCUGGCGGCGUGCUUAACACAUGCAAGUCGAGCGGAGCGGCGAACGGGUGAGUAACGCGUGAGUAACUGCCCCCCUCUCUGGGAUAACAGUUGGCAACGGCUGCUAAUACCGGAUAGUGGGGGAUGACUCGCGUCCUAUCAGCGUGUGGUUGGGGUAGGGGCCUCCCAAGGCGACGACGGUGAGCCGGCCUGAGAGGGCGACCGGCCCCCUUGGGAUGAGAUACGGACCAAACUCCUACGGGAGGCAGCAGUGGGGAAUAUUGCACAAGGGGGGAAACCCUGAUGCAGCAACGCCGCGGGCGGGAUGACGGCCUUCGGGUUGUAAACCGCUUUCAGCCAUGACGCGGUAGUGGCAGAAGAAGCACCGGCUAACUACGUGCCAGCAGCCGCGGUAAUUC